GAUGAACGCUGGCGGCAUGCCUAAGACAUGCAAGUCGUACGAAGUGGCCCAUUGAUGAUUGAGUGCUUGCACAAGAUUUGAUUUGGAUUCCCACUUAGUGGCGCAAGGGUGAGUAACGCGUAGGUUAUCUGCCUUCGAGUUUGGAAUAACAAUUAGAAAUGAUUGCUAAUGCCGGAUUAUAUUUAAGAUGAUACGUUGUCUUAAAUUAAAAGGAGCCUUUAAAGCUUCGCUUGAAGAUGAGCCUGCGUCGUAUUAGCUAGUUGGUGGGGUAAUGGCCUACCAAGGCAACGAUGCGUAGCCGACCUGAGAGGGUGAUCGGCCACACUGGGACUGAGACACGGCCCAGACUCCUACGGGAGGCAGCAGUGGGGAAUAUUGCACAAUGGAGGAAACUCUGAUGCAGCGACGCCGCGUGAGUGAAGAAGUAAUCGUUAUGUAAAGCUCUAUCAGCAGGGAAGAUAGUGACGGU
rnacentral:rRNA from 1 species